GAUGAACGCUGGCGGCGUGCCUAACACAUGCAAGUCGAACGAAGCAUAUCGGACGGAGAUUCGUCGAAGACCGGUAUGACUUAGUGGCGGACGGGUGAGUAAUGUAUGAGCAACCUGCCUUUCAGAGGGGGACAACAGUUGGAAACGACUGCUAAUACCGCGUAAUGUAAUGAAGGGGCAUCCCUUUAUUACCAAAGGAUGCAAUCCGCUGAAAGAUGGGCUCAUAUCUGAUUAGCUGGUUGGCGGGGUAACGGCCCACCAAGGCGACGAUCAGUAGCCGGACUGAGAGGUUGAACGGCCACAUUGGGACUGAGAUACGGCCCAGACUCCUACGGGAGGCAGCAGUGGGGAAUAUUGGGCAAUGGGCGAAAGCCUGACCCAGCAACGCCGCGUGAAGGAAGAAGGUCUUCGGAUUGUAACUUCUUUUAUGAGGGACGAAGACGUGACGGUACCUCAUGAUAGCCACGGCUACUACGUGCAGCAGCGCGGUAUACGUAGGUGGCGAGCGUUAUCCGGAUUUACUGGGUGUAAGGGCGCGUAGCGGGGGGGCAGUCGAAGUGAAUCUAUGGGCUCACCUUACCGGCUUUGACUGUCUCUUCUGUCUGGGGAGGAUACAGAUCUCUUGUGGCGUGUGUGCCAUUAGGAACUUGGAAGGGUUUGAAUCUCUGGCACGGGGCGAGAUACGGGCGCGUC
rnacentral:rRNA from 1 species